UCUCUGGUUCUGUUCUCAAAUCAGACGGCCUAAAGACUUUGUUGAAGUGGUUUUCAGACAGUUGCUAUUUUCAUGCAGACUGGUGAACUGGAGAAAUCAGGAGCACAUUGACCACAGUCAAUGAUAUUGUGGAGGAUUCACAUCACAAGAUAUUCAUUGGUGGAAUUUCAAAGGCUCUUCAUCUGAAUGUUCGUGGAGAUUGCUAAUGCCUUGGUCCGUUGAAGGCAUAUCAUUUUGAUAUGAACAAGGAUCUGGUGAACAAUAUGCCAUGCUCGAGUACGUCGACCAAUCUGUUACUCACAAGGCAUGUGCUGGUCUAAACGGAUUGAAGUUGGGAGGGCAAGUAAUCACUGCAGUUGAGGCUGUCAAGGGCUUUUCCUUGGGAAAUGGUGAAGAUCAAAAUUCAUGUAUUGUUCCUGAACUUGCGAGGUCGCUUCUUCAGAAGCCUACUCAAGUCGUUAAACUUAAAAAUGUGUUCCCAGAAAACUUUUCUUCUUUAUCUGAAGCUGAGGUGGAAGAAUACUAGAAUGUACGGUUAGAGUGUUCAAGGUUUGGUACUAUUAAAUCUGUUAAUGUUGUCAAGCAUGCAAACGGUAUCAUCACAAAUGGAGAAAACAAUGAUGAUAAUACGAGGGAAACUGGAAACGUACAGAACGUAGUAGAUGAUGAAAUAAAUGUUGAAACAAAGACUACAAAAGAAGCUGCUGAUGGAAACUCUGGAGGAACUGCUGGUAUAACCUUUCCGUGUGCGACUCCUGAGGUAGUGGCAGGCUACAGGUUUAACGAUGAGAAACCUGUUUUAUGCCGACGAGUUGAGUUUGAAGAUAAUAUUAACAGAGAAGACAAGCAUGGGAAUUUGGAUGAUGAGCCAUCAACCAGGGGGGUUUUAUAGCAUCAGUGCUGCCGGUGCUCAGCUUGAUACUGAAAUGGCUGCGGAAGAUCCGACCUUGGAGAUUUUAGUCAAUACAACUUCUCAAGAUGUCCCUAAUCCGAUCCAUAUCUCAAAAGAGGAAUCAAAUUAUCAUUCCGAUAAGUAUGGUGAUAAUAAUUUUAAAAGUGAAACCGCAAAUCUUGAUGAGAUAUCAGGAGCUGAAGAAAAUGCAAAUCUUGAUGAGAUAUCAGGAGCUGAAGAAAAUGCAAAUCCGGAGGAAAUCAACAGAAAAUUACCAGAAGGUCAUACUAAGGUGGCAAUCGAAGAUCCCGCCUUUAAGAGUGAGCCAAUAACUAGGUUUCGAGAGAUCCUACCCUUCUGAAUACCCCAAAAGAGGAACCGGCCUCUCCAUAUGACAAGGUUUCUGAUAAUAUUGAUAAUGAAGUCAUAAAUGUAGAUAAAAAUUUGUUGCCCAGAGAAGAUUCACACCUGGAGGAAGGUGAUGGAAGGCUACCAGAAGCCAUCCACGGUUCUGCUGAUAGUGCAAGAACAGAAUUAGACGGUUUUGAGAAGGAUGAAAAAAACAAGGAUGACAAAUUGAAACAGAUUUUUGAGCCUGGUUGUGUGUUUGUUGAGUAUGGAGGAACAGAAGCAUCAUGCACGGCUGCACAUUCUAUACAUGGACGGUUAUUUGAUAACCGGUUGUUGACGGUAGAGUAUAUUGAUCCGAACCUUUACCGGUGAAAUUUCCAAAAUGAACCGGAUCACUCGAACUGGAGAUAAAACUGCUCCACCGAACUUUAGCCUCCCCAUAUGUUUAUCAUUUGAAGUACAUUCUGCAUGAUUAUGCUACAUCGGAGUUUUACAUUACAUUACAGUCGGCCUUGGCCAUACGACGACACAAGGUAAUAUUUUUUCGAAGUUUGAUCGGGUUUGACUAGUAAAGGACCCUUGGUCUCUCCAUUUAAACUUUUAACUUUAAUUCGACAGUGCUGUAAAAGUUGAUGUAUAUGUUAUCAUGAUAGUUAGAAGUUUGUGUAUGCACUGCUACUUUUGUAGUC